UUUGGAUAACUGUGGUAAUCCUAGAGCUAAUACAUGCAAUCAAGUCCCGACCAGUCUGACUGGGAAGGACGCUUUUAUUAGAUCAAGACCAAUCGCCCGGCUUGUCCGGGCGUUGCCUUGGUGACUCUAGGUAACACAUCAGAUCGCAUGGUCUCUGCACCGGCGACUUAUCUUUCAAAUGCCUGACUUAUCAACUGUCGAUGGUAGACUCUAUGUCUACCAUGGUUGUAACGGGUAACGGGGAAUCAGGGUUCGAUUCCGGAGAGGGAGCCUGAGAAACGGCUACCACAUCCAAGGAAGGCAGCAGGCACGCAAAUUACCCACUCCCGGCACGGGGAGGUAGUGACAAAAAAUAACGAUACGGGACUCUUUUGAGGCCCCGUAAUCGGAAUGAGUACACUUUAAAUCCUUUAACAAGGAUCCAUUGGAGGGCAAGUCUGGUGCCAGCAGCCGCGGUAAUUCCAGCUCCAAUAGCGUAUAUUAAAGUUGUUGCGGUUAAAAAGCUCGUAGUUGGUUCUGCGUGCUACGCUGCCGGUUCGCCGCCUGCCGGUGUAACUGGCAUGCCGUGGCAUGUCCUGUCGGUGGCGGAUGGGAGCCUCGUCUAGGCGAUGUACUGGGUGUCAAGCUCAGUGCCAUAAUCCGGGGGCCAACCCCAUUCGCCUAUCUAUCCUACCUAGGUGCUCUUCAUCGAGUGUCGAGGUAGGCCGACACGUUUACUUUGAACAAAUUAGAGUGCUCAAAGCAGGCUGAAAUCUCUGCCUGAAUAGUGGUGCAUGGAAUAAUAAAACAGGACCUUGGUUCUAUUUUGUUGGUUCUUAGGAACACAAGGUAAUGAUCAAUACGGACAGGCGGGGGCAUUCGUAUUGCGCCGGGAAACCAAAGCUUUUGGGUUCCGGGGGAAGUAUGGUUGCAAAGCUGAAACUUAAAGGAAUUGACGGAAGGGCACCACCAGGAGUGGAGCCUGCGGCUUAAUUUGACUCAACACGGGAAACCUCACCAGGCCAGGACAUUGGAAGGAUUGACAGAUUGAUAGCUCUUUCUUGAUUCAGUGGGUAGUGGUGCAUGGCCGUUCUUAGUUGGUGGAUCGAUUUGUCUGGUUAAUUCCGAUAACGAACGAGACUCUAGCCUAUUAACUAGGCGGUUACCGGUGUCCCCGCCACCGGCGACAUUCAUUCUUCUUAAGGGGACAGGCGGCUUACAGCCGCACGAGAUUGAGCAAUAACAGGUCUGUGAUGCCCUUAGAUGUCCUGGGCCGCACGCGCGCUACACUGAAGGAAUCAGCGUGUGCCUCCCUGGCCGAAAGGUCCGGGUAAUCCGCUGAACCUCCUGCGUGCUAGGAAUUGGGGCUUGCAAUUGUUCCCCAUGAACGAGGAAUUCCCAGUAAGCGCGAGUCAUAAGCUCGCGUUGAUUACGUCCCUGCCCUUUGUACACACCGCCCGUCGCUACUACCGAUUGAAUGAUUUAGUGAGGUCUUCGGACUGGCGGUAAUCCUACUGAUUCG
rnacentral:rRNA from 1 species